UACGAAGGGGGGCUAGCGUUGUUCGGAAUUACUGGGCGUAAAGCGCACGUAGGCGGACAUUUAAGUCAGGGGUGAAAUCCCAGAGCUCAACUCUGGAGCUGCCUUUGAUACUGGGUGUCUUGAGUAUGGAAGAGGUGAGUGGAAUUCCGAGUGUAGAGGUGAAAUUCGUAGAUAUUCGGAGGAACACCAGUGGCGAAGGCGGCUCACUGGUCCAUUACUGACGCUGAGGUGCGAAAGCGUGGGGAGCAAACAGG
rnacentral:rRNA from 1 species